GCCGAGCGGGGGCUGAGCCGGGACCACCUCCUCAUGUUGGCCGAGAAGCUCUUCGGCUCCAAGCCAUCGCCGGAGAGCGCCCUGACCUGGCCCAAAUUCUCCAAGGUGAGUGGUCCCUGUCCCCCGCCAUGGCCCCGUCCCNNNNNNNNNNGGCGUGGGGCGGCGUGGGGCAGUGUGGGGCAGUGUGGGGCAGUGUGGGGCGGUGUGGGGCGGUGUGGGGCGGUGUGGGGCUGGGGGGGAGCACCCAACCACCCCCUCUCACCUCUCUGUCCCCAGGGAACCUGCUGGAGCAGAAGAAAUACCUGAACCGGCGCCUCAUCCGCGUGUCCUCCAGGCAGGCAAAUGAGUCCUGGCAGACCGAAGAGGACUUGGUGGCUGCUACCGAAAACCUGGAGACGCUGCAGCUGCAGCCCCGUGGUGGCCCGGGGACACAGCAGGACCCACCUGGGAACCUGGGGACGCAGCAAGUGAUGGCCACGAGCCCAGGGACCCUGCAGGCCACGAGCCCGGGGACGCUGCAGCCCACGAGCCCCGGGACGCUGCAGGUGGUGGCCAUGAACCCGGGGACGCUGCAGGCGGGGUCCCAAGGCUCGGAGCCGUCCCGGCCGCUGCAGGUGGGAUCGGGGGUCUCGGAGCUGCUGCAGCCAAGGAUUGGGGACCUGCAGGCACAGGUGGUGCUGCAGCUGGUCCCCGAGGGACAGGGGACGGUGCAGGUGGGAUCGGGGGGCGUGGGGACGCUGCACGUGCUGCCCGAGGGGCUGGGGAUGGUGCAGCCGGGGGCAGGGGACGUGGGGAUGGUGCAGCCAGUGGCAGGGGACGUGGGGAUGGUGCAGCCGGGGGCAGGGGAGCCACUGCUGGUCCCCGAGGGGCAGGGGACGCUGCCACUGGAGCUGAGGGACGUGGAGCCACUGCCCGAGAGCCUGGACAUGGAGGAGCUCCUGCAGUCGCUGGCGGAGGGGUCGGGGACACUGGAGACGCUGGAGGCGCCGGAGCUGAUGCCCGAGAUGGCAGAAUCCGUGGAUUCGGGGCUGGUCCCCGGGCUGGCGAGUGAGUGUCGGGGUUUGGGGGGUCGGGGGGGGA
rnacentral:lncRNA from 1 species